rfam:Triticum urartu cultivar G1812 contig1243417, whole genome shotgun sequence.
GUUAUACUCCCUUCGUCUAAAAAUACUUGUCCUUAAAAUGGUUGUAUCUAGACUUAUUUUAGUUAUAGAUACGUAUAUUUUAUUCAUUUUGAGAACAAGUAUUUCCGGACGGAGUAGUAUAUA